rnacentral:tRNA from 3 species
ACUCUAAUAGUUUAUAAAAACAU